rnacentral:piRNA from 1 species
UGGCAUUUUGGUUGGUGCACGAGCUCGUC